AGCAGUCUGCGUCUUGGUUAUCGAAGAAUGGAGAGAGUAUUCAGAACGCAUAGGAGGAAACCGGCGGAUCUGCAAUGGAUGUUUUCAUAAGACAUUUUUCUCUCAUCUCGAUGCAAAUUUCUGGAGUUUUUGCAGCAUCGAACUCCGUUUUCCUUGUUCGUACGUUAUCCGUGCGAGUUUUCAAGCAGUCUGCGUCUUGGUUAUCGAAGAAUGGAGAGUAUUCAGAACGCAUUGGAGGAAACCGGCGGAUCUGCAAUGGAUGUUUUCACAAGACGUUUUUCUCUACUUCUCUCGAUGCAAAUUUCUGACGUUUUGCAGCAUCGAACUCCGUUUUCCUUGUUCGUACGUUAUCCGUGCGAGUUUUCAUCUUCGUGAUGCAGAUCUCAUUAGGUGUAUCCAAAUGACCUCAAUUUUGGAUGUAUUCUGUUACCUCUUGCAAGAAGCCACUCUCUUAAAAAAAUGCCGCAGCAGCAUCAAGCACUCACGAACUGAAAGUUGUACUCCAUCAUGGCGGUCGAUGAGGAAAUAACCGAGAGCACCCAAUGACUGCUAUUUAUGGAGGAAGAAGAAGCUGACUUCACAUGAGCACCAAUAAGGGAAGGAAUCUGAUGCUGGAAGUAAUGAAGCUGAAACAGAGUUAUUGCAGUAAUUGUCAAUGAAGCUGAAACAGAGUUAUUGCAGUAAUUGUCGCUACAGUCGCCAUACAAGCCUUUCAACAGGUAAGAAGAGGGACUUGAGAAGCUUCUCGCAGUUGCACUUGCACUAGACGAUUUUCCGUUCUCAGUUCCCUUGCCAGGUGUCCCACAUUCGCUGAAGUCAAGUAUCCGUCGCUCUUUCUACAAAAAAUAAAUAAACGAAAAUAUAAAAAAAAAAAAGUGAAUUUACGUU